rnacentral:rRNA from 1 species
GAUGAACGCUGGCGGCGUGCCUAAUACAUGCAAGUCGAGCGAACAGACGAGGAUCUUGCUCCUCUGACGUUAGCGGCGGACGGGUGAGUAACACGUGGAUAACCUACAUAUAAGACUGGGAUAACUUCGGGAAACCGGAGCUAAUACCGGAUAAUAUAUUGAACCGCAUGGUUCAAUAGUGAAAGACGGUUUUGCUGUCACUUAUAGAUGGAUCCGCGCCGCAUUAGCUAGUUGGUAAGGUAACGGCUUACCAAGGCAACGAUGCGUAGCCGACCUGAGAGGGUGAUCGGCCACACUGGAACUGAGACACGGUCCAGACUCCUACGGGAGGCAGCAGUAGGGAAUCUUCCGCAAUGGGCGAAAGCUUGACGGAGCAACGCCGCGUGAGUGAAGAAGGUCUUCGGAUCGUAAAACUCUGUUAUUAGGGAAGAACAAAAGUGUAAGUAACUAUGGCCGUCUUGACGGUACCUAAUCAAAAAGCCCCGGCUAACUACGUG